CGCUGGCGGCGCGUUUAAGCAUGCAAGUCGAGCGGCAAGGGCCUUCGGGCCCCUAGAGCGGCGGACGGGUGAGUAACACGUGGACAAUCUGCCCCCCGGCCCGGGAUAGCCCAGGGAAACCUGGAUUAAUACCGGGAUGAGACGGGACCUGCGAUGGCGGGAUCCGGGAAAGGCGCUACGGCGCCGCCGGGGGAUGAGUCUGCGUCCCAUUAGCUAGACGGCGGGGUAACGGCCCACCGUGGCGACGAUGGGUAGCCGGCCUGAGAGGGUGGACGGCCACAUUGGAACUGAGACACGGUCCAGACUCCUACGGGAGGCAGCAGCUAAGAAUCUUCCGCAAUGGGCGAAAGCCUGACGGAGCGACGCCGCGUGAACGAAGAAGGCCGUGAGGUUGUAAAGUUCUUUUCGGGAGGGGGAACAACCGUGGCAGGGAAUGGCCGCGGGAUGACGUGAAUCCCGGAAUAAGCCCCGGCUAACUACGUGCCAGCAGCUGC
rnacentral:rRNA from 1 species